CUAUUUUUUCCCCAAUAGUUGAUGACGAUCCAGGAGUGAGUAGAGCAAAACCCAACAUAUCAAGCCAUUCGUCCAUGACAGAGCGUGAACAGACCAAGCAAACACAAGGUUUGUAAGAAAAUGGCUGCAUCCUCAUCAGACAAUAGGGAAAAGGCCACAGAGAUCCAUAAUGUACUGGCUGAUCAUUUGGAUCAACAUCUUAAGCCACAAGAUUUCAAACGACUGAAAGAGCU